UACAGAGGAUGCAAGCGUUAUCCGGAAUGAUUGGGCGUAAAGCGUCUGUAGGUGGCUUUUUAAGUCCGCCGUCAAAUCCCAGGGCUCAACUCUGGACAGGCGGUGGAAACUACCAAGCUGGAGUACGGUAGGGGCAGAGGGAAUUUCCGGUGGAGCGGUGAAAUGCGUAGAUAUCUGGAGGAAUACCGGUGGCGAAGGCGGCAUCCUGGACCAUUACUGACGCUGAGGCGCGAAAGCUAGGGGAGCAAACGGG
rnacentral:rRNA from 1 species